rnacentral:rRNA from 2 species
UACAGAGGUCUCAAGCGUUGUUCGGAUUCAUUGGGCGUAAAGGGUGCGCAGGCUGUGGGGUAAGUCGGAUGUGAAAUUUAGGGGCUCAACCUCUAAACUGCAUUCGAUACUGCUCCGCUAGAGGUAUGUAGAGGAGAUUGGAAUUCACGGUGUAGCAGUGAAAUGCGUAGAUAUCGUGAGGAAGACCAGUGGCGAAGGCGAAUCUCUGGGCAUUACCUGACGCUCAUGCACGAAGGCCAGGGGAGCAAACGGG